GCCCGCCUAGCUCAAUCGGAUAGAGCGUCAGACUCUUAUUUCCAUUGCGGGUUAUAUCUGAAGGCUGCGAGUUCGACCCUCGCGGUGGGCU